AGUCGAACGGAAGUCGUUAUAAAAAGGAUUGAAGAUUUAUCUGAUUGAGACUUUAUAACAAUGGCUUUAGUGGCGGACUGGUGAGUAACGCGUGAGCAACCUGCCUACUAGAGGGGAAUAACAGUGAGAAAUCAUUGCUAAUACCGCAUAUGUCAUGAACAUCACAUGAUGAAAAUGGGAAAAGAGUAAUCUGCUAGUAGAUGGGCUCGCGUCUGAUUAGAUAGUUGGUGGGGUAACGGCCUACCAAGUCAACGAUCAGUAGCCGGACUGAGAGGUUGAACGGCCACAUUGGGACUGAGAUACGGCCCAGACUCCUACGGGAGGCAGCAGUCGGGAAUAUUGCGCAAUGGAGGAAACUCUGACGCAGUGACGCCGCGUAUAGGAAGAAGGUUUUCGGAUUGUAAACUAUUGUCGUUAGGGAAGAUACAAGACAGUACCUAAGGAGGAAGCUCCGGCUAACUACGUGCCAGCAGCCGCGGUAAUACGUAGGGAGCAAGCGUUAUCCGGAUUUAUUGGGUGUAAAGGGUGCGUAGACGGGACAACAAGUUAGUUGUGAAAUCCCUCGGCUUAACUGAGGAACUGCAACUAAAACUAUUGUUCUUGAGUGUUGGAGAGGAAAGUGGAAUUCCUAGUGUAGCGGUGAAAUGCGUAGAUAUUAGGAGGAACACCGGUGGCGAAGGCGACUUUCUGGACAAUAACUGACGUUGAGGCACGAAAGUGUGGGGAGCAAACAGGAUUAGAUACCCUGGUAGUCCACACCGUANACGAUGGAUACUA
rnacentral:rRNA from 1 species